rnacentral:lncRNA from 1 species
CUGGAAUGUGGCCAAAACACGGGGUAAUACUUCAACUCUUAGAAAAAGUGCCAGGGGGAUAUUUAACAACUGCAGGUGGCCAAAUGCUUUCUCAUAAGUCUCAUCAGAAACGUCAUUUAUAGCAACAGUAUUCACCAAGUUACCAGAGGUGAAUUAAAUAGUUUGGAAAGAGGCCUAGAAAAUUUUUGUUUUUAAAAUGAAAGGUGAAAUCUGAAAAUGUCUGAGAGGCUACAAAAUAACAGGAGAAUGUCCUGGCAUAAGGGUUGGAAUUACAAGUCAGACAGGGCUGAGCAGCAAUCUUCAAGAAAAUUGCUCUAAAUUGGCCUUCAUUAGCU